AACCUUUCAUUUAACGCGUGGGAGGCUUAUAUAUGUGGUGUCGGCUUCGGCCGACUAUGGCGAUAAACGGUUGACGUAAUAAACCAUUCGGACCCGGGGGCGGUACCCGGCGGCUCCACCAGGUUUCAGCCAUUCUAGUCCCUGACGUGCAUGGCAUGAGACUUGCGAAAAGUACCGGCACGGACUGAAACGUGGCGGGGCCGAAACAGGAUCGACGAGGGUGUAAAGGUCGUACUUUCGCUCGGCAUGGUAUCCGCCGUUAUCGGGCCGAACCUUAUAGUUGCCAAUGACAACUAUGCGGAGGCACGUCUCGCUGCGUAAUGCGGCGCGAUAGCCUAAAUUAAAGCCCUAGCUUCCUCGCAGAAGUUAGGCGCGGUUUCGGAGGGCACCGGGCAACAGAAGCCCUCCACU
rnacentral:tmRNA from 1 species